CCUACGGGAGGCAGCAGUAGGGAAUUUUCCGCAAUGGGCGAAAGCCUGACGGAGCAAUACCGCGUGAGGGAUGACUGCCUAUGGGUUGUAAACCUCUUUUUUACAGGGAGGAAUAAAUGACGUGUACCUGAAGAAUAAGCAUCGGCUAACUCCGUGCCAGCAGCCGCGGUAAGACGGAGGAUGCAAGUGUUAUCCGGAAUCACUGGGCGUAAAGCGUCUGUAGGUGGCUCGACAAGUCAACUGUUAAAUCUUGAAGCUCAACUUCAAAAUCGCAGUCGAAACUAUCGGACUAGAGUAUAGUAGAGGUAAAGGGAAUUUCCAGUGGAGCGGUGAAAUGCGUAGAGAUUGGAAAGAACACCGAUGGCGAAGGCACUUUACUGGGCUAUUACUGACACUCAGAGACGAAAGCUAGGGUAGCAAAUGGAUUAGAUACCCAGUAGUCCUAGCCGUAAACAAUGGAUACUAGUGUUGACAGAUCGACCUGUGCAGUACCAAAGCUAACGCGUUAAGUAUCCGCCUGGGAAGUAUGCAGCAAGUUGNGAAACUCAAAGGAAUUGAACGGCUGAGAGUACGCGACGACGACGACGAGGGAGAGG
rnacentral:rRNA from 1 species